rnacentral:rRNA from 1 species
CUAGCGUCUAUCUGAAUGUGCCCAAUCUCAUCUGAUCUUGGAAACUAAGACGGGUAGGACUUGAUUAAUACUUGGAUAGGAGAAUAAAUCUAGA